UUUCCGUAGGUGAACCUGCGGAAGGAUCAUUACCUUUCAAUGCAGCAGAAUUGGGAUGGUUGAGUAUCUCGCCUCUCAGUUCUGCCUGUAUUCUACCCUUGUUUGUCAUAUACUAUUAUUUCCUCGGCAGGCUUGCCUGCCGAGUGAAACCAUUUAUAACCUUUUUAAUUUUCAAUCAGCGUCUGAAAAAAUUAAUAAUUACAACUUUCAACAACGGAUCUCUUGGUUCUGGCAUCGAUGAAGAACGCAGC
rnacentral:misc_RNA from 1 species